GCCUUCGUGGUGUAGUGGUCAGCACGCUCGGUGCGUAUUUUGAGAGGUCCGUGGUUCGAGUCUCGGUAAGGGCA
rnacentral:tRNA from 1 species